rnacentral:misc_RNA from 1 species
UUUUGCCUGGGAAGGUUGGAUAUGGGCGUCUGCAUGGUGUAAUACCCGUGGCUCGCCUGAAAUGUGUCAGUGGUGAUCAGGCCCUUGACAAGAGUAAUAAGUUUCUCUUGUGUCGGGUCGUAGGGAGCCGCUCAUAACCCGCCGUGAGGCAACUUUUUGACUCUGACCUCAAAUCAGGUAGGACUACCCGCUGAACUUAA